GGGUAAAAAAAACUUUUUUAAAUAAUUACUAUACUUAUGUUUUAAUGUGAACAGUUUGGAUUAACCUUCUGCUUUACGAUCUUGUGUCUCUUAUAGAAGCCCAUUUAUCUAGAGAUCUAACCUAAUUAAUGCCUAAAAGCUAAAUAAACCUAAAUUCCACUUAUAACCUAAAUUUGUUUUAACGAGUCUCACAUUCAGUUUUGUUUCAUUAAGGCCAAAAGAGUUCACAACCUUUCUCAUUCUUCGUGAAUGUGCCUUCUAAAUGGAAAGUGACUCAAAAUGAAGGAAAACAAACAAAAACGUGGCCGAUAGAGUAAUGCACUCUUUUUUUUGGUCAAUCUUUAAGCUUCAUACAUAAGCCCAAAUAGCUCAACAAAUUUAGAGAAACAUAAAAAGGAACAUGUGUUUUGGUCUUCUUCUUCAAUGUAGAUGCAAUGUGUCCUUCCUGAAAAAUGUUGAAAUGAGCCGCCAUUUCUUCGUCGAGAUCUCAACGUCUACUCCUCCGCCAGAUGAAAGAGAAACAAAAUCAUUAAGCAAAGGCUAGAUCUUCCAAAUUGAAACCACUUGAAUGAGGUUGACUUUCACCAAAGUCGUGACUACAUAAACAUAGAGGUUCUAGUUCACCGGAAAGUACAUCAGAGGAAGCAUGUGUCAGAUUUCAGGUAGACACUUUGUUGGACCGCUACGAAGGUGCCAACUCUUCUGAAUCCGCUUCAAAUAAGACUCAAUAGAUCCAUCAAACAUGAUCUUCUUUCAUCCAAGAUGCUCUACCAUAACAGCAAAAAGGGCUGAUCAAAGAAAGCAGAGUUUGGUUCUCUUAAGAAAGGGAUUCAAGUGAACGGUGGAUAAAAACAUAUGACAUAUAAUCGAAUGAGAUUAAAAUGAAAAAUAGAGUGAAAUGCUUUGAUUUAAAACUUUAUUCAUUUCAAACUCAAUCGAGAAUAGAAGAUGAGAAAAUCUUGAAAACCAACUCGAAUGAAGAUUGAAAAAGUAUUUCAAAAUCGUCUAAACGAACAUAGAAUCCGACUAAGCGGAAGAGAAAUCGAUCCUAAGGAUCGAAGACUUAAUUUACAACAAAAGAAAAGAAGAACAAAAAUCUCAACUUCCCUUUGAAA
rnacentral:lncRNA from 1 species